AAAAUUUAAUUUCAAACAUUCAAUAGUUUGAAAGAUGAAAAUUUUAAUGAGUCUUUUUAUUUUUAUUUUAUUUUUUCAAAAAACACAACAAAGGUAUAUAAAACCAAAUAAUGCUUCUUCUCUCCCUUCUUCACCAAUUGUUGGUCCAAGAAAACCCCCUCCCCCUCCCCCUCCCCCUCAUGGGCAAGCUUUACCCUAACACUAUUUUGGCCGCAUGGCUUUUGUCAUGUGUCUCAUAAUUGCAUAAAACAAAAGGUUAAAGAGUUGCCCACAAUUCAUGGGUUAUGACCGUCUAAUAAGGCGGGUAGUAGCCCACCACUACCACCGGAUCCAGUCAAAUACAAUACAAAUAUGAUUUCCAAGACAUUAAAAGAACAACUAUUAGUCAAUUGGCCUAGUCUUGUGCACGACAGGACAGAUGAAGCUUUUUGGAUCCAUGAGUGGAAUUCUCAUGGUACUAUUUCAAAUAGCAAAUUCAAUGAAUAUCAAUAUUUCCAAAAAGCCAUAUUUUUGCAUAGAAAAUUUAUUAAUAUAAAAAAUGAUCUUGUGCACAAUGGUAUUAAGCUUGAUCAUUCUACCCCUCAAUCUGAUAAAAUUUUUAAGGCAGCACUUAAAAAGAUCACAGGGCACGAUGUGGAUCUUUUAUGUAAGGUUGAUUCUACCGGUACCAAAUAUCUUAUAGAGAUGAGGUUUUGUUUUGACAUUGCCGCUGAAAAUUUGAAAAGUUGUACUUCUAAUAACUCGUCAUGUAAAAGCGGCUUUAUUUUUUCAAAUGUUUAGAUAAUCCAUGUUAUUUCAAUGUUAUUAAUAAUAAGUACUUUUAUUUUA